AUCUAUCCGACGAGUCCCAAAUAGGAUGAAACGUGCGUCUUGGUU
rfam:Schistosoma margrebowiei strain Zambia genome assembly, scaffold: SMRZ_contig0002603